UACGGAGGGAGCUAGCGUUAUUCGGAAUUACUGGGCGUAAAGCGCACGUAGGCGGCUUUGUAAGUUAGAGGUGAAAGCCCGGAGCUCAACUCCGGAACUGCCUUUAAGACUGCAUCGCUUGAAUCCAGGAGAGGUGAGUGGAAUUCCGAGUGUAGAGGUGAAAUUCGUAGAUAUUCGGAAGAACACCAGUGGCGAAGGCGGCUCACUGGAGCUGGUAUUGACGCUGAGGUGCGAAAGCGUGGGGAGCAAACAGG
rnacentral:rRNA from 1 species